AGGCAAAGCAAAGGCAAGAAAACAACGAUCAUUAGCAGAAACAAAUGGCUAGAUUUCUUCUGCAAGUUCCCAACACCUUGAGAAACCCUAGUGUUUUUGCUUCCUCUUCCUCCAAUGGAUCUUUUCCAACUUCCAGUAAUCAAGCAUCUCAAUCAGGAAAAGGAGGUCCACUGAUCAUUGAACUUCCCCUUAAUCAAAUUCGGAGACCUUUAAUGCGUACAAGAACCAAUGAUCAACAGAAGGUGCAAGACCUCAUGGAUAGUAUUGCCCAAAUUGGUCUUCAAGUACCCAUUGAUGUGCUUGAGGUCGAUGGUGCUUACUAUGGCUUUUCUGGAUGUCAUCGUUUUGAGGCUCAUCAGCGCUUAGGGCUUCCUACUAUUCGUUGCAAGAUCCGACGUGGAACUAAAGAAACGUUAAGGCAUCACCUUCGUUGAGUCGGGGAUAGUUGGGUCAAAGGUUUCCUUCAACAGGAGAAAUCCAUCCUUGUUAUGCGACAGGGUGUUCCAGGCUAUGACUAGAUUAAUCUUGGCAAAUUGGGACUGCAAGAAAUCAGCCCUGAUAAACUCAGUGACCACAAUUGUUCUAUACGCCUGGAAUAGAACCUAGGGCCUCAACCACUAUGCUACAACCCUUCGUGGUUUUCCUUCAGUUUCUUGUGAAUUUCAAUUAUACCAAGCGAUUGAUGAUACUAAAAUCACCACAAGAUCAAUCCGGAGUCUGAUCAAUAACUACGACAUGCCAUUGCCUCCGCUACCAUCCUCUACGUUAGGAGUGUAAGUGGUUCGGUUAUGCAUGAAGUUGUUACUACUACUUUCCAUGUUCUCUUUGUAAUAUUCAGGUGUCUGUAGUAAAUAAGUAUAAAAAUAGAAAUCAAAUUUGGUUAGAUCGCUAAAACCAUGAAUCCAAUAUCAAAUCGAGGAAGACUAAUAGGUUCGGGUUUUUAAAUAGGGACGAUGUAUGCAAUCAUUAAACCAAAUUAAACUAAUUGCUUUGGUUUUGGCUUCGGAAGA